CACGUAGGCGGAUACUUAAGUCAGGGGUGAAAUCCCGGGGCUCAACCCCGGAACUGCCUUUGAUACUGGGUAUCUGGAGUCCGGAAGAGGUGAGUGGAAUUCCGAGUGUAGAGGUGAAAUUCGUAGAUAUUCGGGGGAACACCAGUGGCGAAGGCGGCUCACUGGUCCGGUACUGACGCUGAGGUGCGAAAGCGUGGGGAGCAAACA
rnacentral:rRNA from 1 species